rnacentral:lncRNA from 1 species
CUCAAUACACAAGAGUUCAAACAGAUUACUCCCAAUCCCAAAGGGUAGAAUUAGCCAUGCAUACUUCUAACACAUUUCAUUCUCCCAAUUGGGUUACAAUUCACUCUAUGGUGUUAUUCUCUCAAUCUGGCAUACUAGGGUUGUGCCUUUAGCCCCCUAUUUAACCUAAUUUACUAUGGUUAGAUGACUUCCUCGCACUAAUGGGCUAAAUGAUAAAACAUAUAAAAAGUCCCAAUCUUUCUGACGCAUUCACGCUCGAGCGAGGAAUUCUCGCUUGAGCGAGGAAUUCUCGCUUGAGCGAGAAAGGCGUUGAUUUCCAAAAACAGUCCUGGAGCAUUCGGUUGUGAAAUUGGCUUUUUCAACACUUUUCUAUAUUUUGGGACCUUCCAACUUUCUCUUUUUAGCCCAAAUCAUUCUCCUUUACCCAAAAUCUUCAAUCCUUCCUAGAAACCUGCAAUUAACACCAAAUUUGGGAAUAAAAUGUUCUUAUUCAAAUAAUGAUCAUAAAAACAUAAAAAAGGUAUAAAUUCAUAAAUUAGGGAUUAAUUUAUAUGUAAAUUAGCAAUAAAUCUAUAUAAGUGCCUAUAUUUCAAUAUGAAAUAUUACUGAAAUUAGGCACUUAUCAAUAAGCCUUUUAUUAUACACUUUAUAAGCAUGACUAGUUAAUGAAUAACCAAGAAAGAUACCAUUAUCCGCUUUUACAUCAAACUUGCCCAAGGUUUUCCUUUCCAUUAUUUAAAAUGUAACACUUGCAACCAAACACUUUUAGAUGACUAAUGUUGAGUUUUCUUCCAUUAAACAGUUCAUAAGGUGUUUUCUUCAAGAUUGGUCUAAUGAGGACCCUGAUCAUCACAUAGCAUGUUGUGCUAAUAGCAUCAACCCAAAUAUUUUGGCAAAGAGGACUCACUUAAAAUGGUUCUAGCAAAUUCAUCAAGAGAUCUAUUCUUCCUUUCCACAACCCCAUUUUUGUUGGGAAGUUCUAAGAGCAGAGAAGUUAUGAAAGAUUUCCAAAUUUUCACAACAAGCACUGAAUUUUUCAUUUUGAAAUUCCCCUCUAUGAUCACUCUGAAUGGCACAAAUGUUAUUGUAGCUCAUGUUUUGUAAUCUCUCGGCAAUCCUUUUGAAUGCAGAAAAUGCAUCACUCUUGGAUUCCUAGAAUAAUGUCCAUGUGAACCUAGAGAAAUCAUCAACUAUAACAAGUGCAUAGUAGUUUCCACCAAGACUCAUGGUUCUUGAAGGACCAAACAAAUCCAUGUGCAGCAGUUCAAGGGGUUUGGAAGUAGAAACUACAUUUUUCAGUUUAAAAGAAUGUUUGAUUUGCUUCCCCUUUUGGCAUGCUUCACAUAUGUUGUCUUUCUAAAACUUGAGUUUGGGUAAAUCUACCACAAGAUCUUUAGAAAUCAACCUAUUUAGACGAUGCAUAUGGAUGUGAGCUAUCCUUCUAUGCCAUAAUCAUGAAUCCUCAUGUUUGGUUAGAAGGCAGCCAAUAGAUGCAAAAUGUGAGAUAUCAAGAAGAUAAACAUUGUUGUUCCUUUUACCAAUCAACAACACUUUUUGUGAUUUGGUUAGCCGUAUCUCACACAUGUUGGGCUUGAAGGUUACUUGAUAACCUUUGUCACACAACUGACUUAUGGUAAGGAUAUUAUGUUUGAGUCCUUCCACAAAUAGCACAUCAUGAAUCAAAUAGGUGUUCUUGUCACCAAUGGUUCCUCUUCUAAGAAUUUUCCCUUUGUUGUUGUCACCAUAAGUCACACGACCUUCUUGCUUGAGGAGAAGAUUGAAAAAAUUUGUUUUAUCCCCUAUCAUGUGCUUAGAACAACCACUGUCCAGGUACCACAUGUGAUGAUUUUCAAUCAAGGAACAACUGCUUCUGUCAGAUGCUCCCUUUGCCAUUAAGCACAAAUUUGCCUCUUCAUCUCCAUUUGAUGAUGAGCUAGAGGAAGAAACAUCAUUGUCUUUCCAAGCAAUGUAGGAUCUCUUGGCUUUGCCCUUAUUUUCACUUUUCUUGCUUGCUCCUCUUUCUUUACUUUCAUUAUUCAGGAAAUAAGCUUUAAUAUGACCUUGUUUACCACAUCCAAAACAAGUACAUUUGUUAGCAUUAAAAUCAUUGAGUUUCUUGUUGUUAUACCUAUUAGAGGAUUCUUAAAGAACUUGCUGAAUUUUCUAGUAAGCAAGUUUAGAGUUUCUCCAUCACUGUCCACACUUGAUUCAUGAUAGUCUUUAUGACCAACAUCCUUCAAAGCUAUGAUUCUCACAUGCUUCUCUUCAUGCUCUUGACCAUUUAGCCUAUUCAUCUCCAAUUCUUGCUCCCUAAGCUUUUCAAAUAAGGAGGUUGUUAUUAAGGUAGUUAAAUCCUUUGAUUCAGAGAUGGCUGUGACUUUGGGCUGCCGAGAUCUGUCCAGGCACUUGAGGAUCUUGAUGUUGAGUUCCUCUUUUUCAAAGAAUUUUCCAAGACUUAUGAGAUGGUUGACAACAUGAGUGAAUCUCUUUUAUACAUUAGCAAUUGUCUCCUUUUUUUGCUUCCUGAACAUCUCAUACUCCUGGAUUAGAGCAUGCUUUCUAGCUCUCUUCACAUCAUUGGUUCCUUGAUGAGUAACUUCAAGAGUAUACCACAUUUCUUUUGCAGAAGAACAUUGUGAUACCAUGAAAAACUCAUCAAAAUUUAAAGCAGAUGUGAUAAUGUAUUUAACAAUGCAAUCAAAUUGAGCCUUUUUUGCUUUCAUGCUCAAUUCAUUGGGACCAAGGUUUUUCAAUGAAAAAACUAUCUCUUUUUAGCUUUAGGAAUAAAAGGGCCAUUUACAAUGACAUCCCAGAUUCCUCUAUCAAUUGAUUCCACAAAGAUCUUCAUUCUAACCUUCCAAAACUAAUAAGAGGUGGCCUGUUAAUUGAAGUACCUUCCUCAAAGGGUAGUUUUUCGGCCAUGAAAAAGCUUUUAGGAUAGAAAACUUGAAUGACUUUCAAGAACUUAGCUCUUGAUGCCAAUUGUUAGAAUUAUAGGCCUUAAACAAGACGGGGGGGGGGGGUGGGGAUGAAUUCUUUAUGAAAUAUUUUCGCAAAUAUUAAAGCUAGAUUGAAAGAUAAAGAAGAAUCGAUCAAUUAGAAAUCUGUUCAUCCAAUUUCAAAACUGUUUUAAUGUGAUUGUAGAAAAUCAACCGACUGUUUUUGCGAAACAAUCGGUUGUUUUUAUCAGCAAUUUUAAAAUCAAGCAAAAUCAGAUUUAAAGAGUGAAGGGAUAGAAAGAUUCACGCAGGAAAUUUAUACUAGUUCACUCUUGAGCAAGAGCUACAUCCAGUCCUCAACACACCAAUAUGUAUUCACUAUGAAAUCAAAAACCUUGAUUACACACAACACACUAAAGUGGUAAUCUUGAACCAUUCAAGAACACACACCACCUUUGGCAAACACACCACGGAUUUCAGAACAACCUCUGAAUCUGCACACCAAUAAUUCUCAAAAAAAUAAAGUAGUCAAGAGAGAAAGGAAUGAGUACACCAGGAUACAAUCUCAAAUCAAAGCAAAAUGGAUACAACAAAAUCCACUCUUGAAAAAUGAUCCAAAGCUCUUAGUAAUCUUGAAAUCUUGAUUUAAAAAAGUCUCUUUCUUAUCUCCAAGAUUAGGAACCAAGGUAGUUAGGAUCAUUAAAAAACAAUUUGGUAAAUCUUAACAAAAUUCUGUUAAGGUUUUCAAAAAAUCAACCAGUUGAAAACACGAAAUAACCGAUCGAAUUGGCUUGACAGCAAAGCAAACAAAGGCAAACUUUUCAAAACUGUUUUUAAAAACAACCAAGUGUAAAAGAAUCAGUUCAAUCGAAGUUUCAGCAGAUUGAUUUUUCACUUUCCUUUCAAAACGAUUAAAAUAAAACAACCUUGGAUCAUCACCUAGAGUGGAUUAAAAAAUUCAACUACUCUAGACAAUUCAACUACUCUAGACAAUUCAACUACUCAACACUCAACCAACAACAAAGAUCUCCAUGCAUUUCACUAGGAUUUGGAAGCAUCAAAGCCUUUAUUCAACACCAAUAAACAACCUGUGAUACACAAAAAUCAAACUCAGCAAAUUCAAAUUUUCUUUAUGCCUCAAAUCAUAAUUGAAACACCACAAAUUUUUUCAACAAUAGACAAUUACAAAAUAGGACAAAUUACAAAAUAGAAUAAAUUACUAAAUAAGUUUGACCAAUUCCAACCUAUCCUAUCGACAACCUACAAACGGUCACCUACAUCAAAUCACAACCUGGAACAACCACACCAACGUUCAACCAUUCUCCAACCCACAAACUACGCCACCACAAAACCACUCAACAACGCAAUGAACCCAAAAUAAAUUACCACUCAUUAACCCAAAACCGCUAAAAACAUACAGCCACUAACCCUUCCAAAAAGAAAAAAACUUGCAUAUCAACAUUAAUUAAAAUAAAAAAUCUUUACCUUUAAUUUAACAAAGAAGAAGACUUCCAAAAAUUUCACACCCAACAUCUUAUCGAAGAAUCCUUGCAAAAACAACUCCAAAACACGCAAUCCAACACACGACAAGACAAUCAUCGAACACAAACCGAGCGAAACUGGUACACAUCACACGUUCCUGGCAACACACACAAUAACAAGAAAGAACACAAGAAAAUAACAAGAGCACGAAAAAAAUAGGAGCAGAGCAAGAAAAGAGGAACAAAACAACAGAAAGUUAGGAAAACGAAAGUGAGUGGGAAUGAAAGUUUUCACUAAAAUUUUCAUUUUGUCAUUACACUUGCCACGUCAUCAAUCCUAAGCCAUAUCAGAUAUCCGUUGCCCCAUCAUGCUACAUGGGUGUUUCCCUUUUCUCAUUCCCAUUCCCUUUAUUUUCUCCUAGUUCAAUAACUUAAUAACGUUUUCCUUUUUUUUAAUUCUUUUUUGUUAGCUUGUAUCUUUUUAUUUAUGAAGAUUUGA